ensembl:lncRNA
ACAGGGAUACAGAAAGAGGUCUUCCAUCCACUAGUUCACUCCCUAAAUGGAUGCAACAGCUGAGGCCGCACCAGACCAUAGCCAGGAGCCUGGAACUCCAUCCGGCUUUCUCACGUGGGUGGCAGGGGCCCAAGCACUUGGGCCAGCUUCUGCUGCUUUCCCAGCCAAUCAGCAAGGAGCUAGAUUGGAAGUGGAACAGCAGGCACAUGAACCAGCACCCACACGGGACACUGACACCACAGGUGGCAGCCUCACUCACGACACCACAGCACCGGCCCCCAGUUUGCAGUUCUGCCAGCAGGACAACAAUGCUGAAACGUCCACAGGCCGCGGCACAGAAGCCCAGGACUUCAAGCUUGCAGUUCCAGAAAAUUUUUGAAGUACCUCACACAUCGUCAUUGAGAAAACUGAUUUGUCACAGUUAAGGAUAAGGCAGGUGUUGAUCCACGCGGAGUGGAAGAAUCAUGACCUUGGACUUGAAGGUGACCAAGCCAGGAGGCACUGAGGAGAGCAUCAGCCGGUGGCACGGUUAGCAGGAUGGAUCUCACGUCAGGGACAUCCCAUCCUAAGGCAGUAGUCCCCCAACCACCUGCACCUUUCACAUUUACUAUGCGAAAAAACUUUGAAAUUUCAAGUCUGAAACCAGCAAGAUCAAUAUUCUGAUAAUGCAACACUGAUUUCUUGAUAUUUGGUGUCAAAAGAAUAUCAGUAAUUUCUUCAACUUCUAUUUUUUUCCCCAGCUGUUUGAGGUUCUUUGCUGUGAUGUGCUGUUUUUGGCCACUGUGCUAUAGGAGAGGUUCAUGAAAUAGUUUUGAAUUGUCUUUAUGCAGUCCAUGGUUCUCAGACUGUAGUGUGCAAGGGAAUCACUGGAGAGUUUGCUAACACACAGACUGUAGACACUGCUCCUUCUGAUCCAACCGGCUGGGGGGUGCGGUGGGUAAGAACGUUUUUUUUUGACAGGCAGAGUUAGACAGUGAGCGAGAGAGACAGAGAGAAAAGUCUUCCUUUUUCCGUUGGUUCAUCCCCCAAGUGGCCGCUACGGCCGGUGCACUGCACCGAUCUGAAGCCAGGAGCCAGGUGCUUCCUCCUGGUCUCCCAUGCGGGUGCAGAGCCCAAGCACUUCGGCCAUCCUCCACUGCAAUCCUGGACUGGAAGAGAAGCAACCAGGACAGAAUCCGGUGCCCCAACCAGGACUAGAACCCGAGGUGCUGGCGCCGCAGGCAGAGGAUUAGCUUAGUGAGCUGCGGCGCCGGCCAAGAACGUACAUUUUUAACAAGUUCUCAAUUGAUGCUGCUGAUGCUGUAUGGGGACCACAGUUUGAAAACACUUCUCUAAAGCACUUUUCUCUCUCUCUCUCUGUAUGUAUACAUACAUACAUACAUAUAUAUAGUAAUUUCUGAUAUCUUUUUGCCUAAAAUCAAAGCAACUGAUAGUGCUUAAAUGCAUAUUUUUUAUACUCUUUUGUAAAAUAUUAUUUUUGGUUGCCUUCACACAAAGCAAUAACUGUAUUAUUAAUAACUUACAAAUUACAAGAUUUUGGGAGGGUGCUGGCAUUGUAAUACAGUGGGUCAAGCUACCACACAUUAAAAACAAAAAUAAAUUCUGAACAAAUUAGGAGUUCCUUUAUAUU